GCUAAGGCUGAUGGCGACCGGCGCACGGGUGAGUAACACGUAUGCAACCUGCCGUCUACUCUUGGCCAGCCUUCUGAAAGGAAGAUUAAUCGAGGAUGGGAUCAUGAGUUCACAUGUCCGCAUGAUUAAAGGUAUUUUCCGGUAGACGAUGGGGAUGCGUUCCAUUAGAUAGUAGGCGGGGUAACGGCCCACCUAGUCAACGAUGGAUAGGGGUUCUGAGAGGAAGGUCCCCCACAUUGGAACUGAGACGCGGUCCAAACUCCUACGGGAGGCAGCAGUGAGGAAUAUUGGUCAAUGGGCGAUGGCCUGAACCAGCCAAGUAGCGUGAAGGAUGACUGCCCUAUGGGUUGUAAACUUCUUUUAUAAAGGAAUAAAGUCGGGUAUGCAUACCCGUUUGCAUGUACUUUAUGAAUAAGGAUCGGCUAACUCCGUGCCAGCAGCCGCGGUAAUACGGAGGAUCCGAGCGUUAUCCGGAUUUAUUGGGUUUAAAGGGAGCGUAGAUGGAUGUUUAAGUCAGUUGUGAAAGUUUGCGGCUCAACCGUAAAAUUGCAGUUGAUACUGGAUGUCUUGAGUGCAGUUGAGGCAGGCGGAAUUCGUGGUGUAGCGG
rnacentral:rRNA from 1 species